AAGACGAUGAAGUGGAGCAAGAGCCAGUAGUCACCCACAUACUACCAAGAAGGGAGCUGACCUCUACUUCUACUAUGAUUCGAAUGCUCAUAGCUAGAGAGCAGCUGGAGAGCAGCUAUGAGAGGAUUAGACCAUCGUCAACUGCCGGGAUUAUGCCCACGAUUUCCGAAGAUUUAGA